rnacentral:rRNA from 1 species
AACGUAGGAGACAAACGUUAUCCUGAGUUACUGGGCGUAAAGGGCGUGUAGGCGGUUUGUUAAGUCUGGCGUGAAAGCUCUCGGCUAAACCGGGAGAGGUCGUUGGAUACUGGCAAACUAGAGGACGGUAGAGGCGUGUGGAAUUCCGGGUGUAGUGGUGAAAUGCGUAGAGAUCCGGAGGAACACCAGUGGCGAAGGCAGCCCCCUGGGUCAAAACUGACGCUCAUGCACGAAAGCGUGGGGAGCAAACAGG